GGAGAAAGAGGGACACACCCCUCCUUAACGAC
rnacentral:tRNA from 1 species